rnacentral:rRNA from 1 species
AUGAAUCUUUUGGCCUGGAACUGUCGAGGAUUGGGGUUGGACUCGACGGUUGGCGAACUGAGAGACCUGAUACGGUCCUACAACCCAGCGGUGGUUUUUCUUUGUGAAACUAAAAAAAACGGCGAGGCGAUGGAGCGACUCCAGUGGAGCUUGGGCUUUAAUCGUGGAGUAGCGGUAGACUGUCAAGGGAAGAGUGGGGGUCUUGCUCUAUGGUGGAGAGAUCAUCUUCAAGUUACCGUGCGUCCGUGGAGCCAGUACUUUAUUGAUGCAGAGGUGAUGUGGGAAGAGAAAACUUGUAGGAUCACUGGAUUCUAUGGGAAACCUCGAACGGAACUACGCAAGAAAUCUUGGGAUGCUCUUAGAUACUUGAGGGCUCAAGAUGAUCUGCCGUGGAUUUGCUUGGGCGAUUAUAAUGAGGCUUUGUUUCUUUCUGACCAGAUUGGGGGUAAUCCAAGACCUUUCAUGCAAAUGGAAGAUUUUCGGGACUGUCUUGCUGAUUGUGGUUUGGCAGACUUGGGGUUCUCGGGCUAUCAAUAUACAUGGGAUAAUAAGCGGGAUGGUGUGGAAAAUAUUCAAGUGCGGUUAGAUCGAGCCACUUGUACCGAUUCUUUCUUACGGAUGUUCCCAGAAACAUCAGUUGAACACCGUAACCGAAGAGUCUGA